rnacentral:rRNA from 1 species
AUGAGUUACCAGCUGAAGAAGACGACCAGGAGCGAAGAAGCCGCGCAGCAGAGAGCGUCGUCUUCGGAAGAACAGCAGCAGGAAAAGAUAAAUGAGGUGCGGGGUCUCCUGGGCAAUCUGACGGAGGAGAUGGCGAGUUUUCUGUCGGACGCCACCAUCCGCCGUUUCCUCCGGGCGAGGAACUGGAGCGCAGAGCAAGCCACCAAGGGUCUCAAGGAGACUGUCAAGUGGAGGCGUGAGUACAGGCCGAAUGCAAUUUCCUGGGACGACAUUCCAGAAGUGGAGAACGAGGCCCGGAGGACACAUGUGGCCGACUACCUUGACAAGAAUGGAAGAAGUGUCCUCGUAUCAAACGUACCAAUGAAGUCUAAAGUUUCAGCCAAGGAGCAAAUAAAGCACCUGGUGUAUCUCCUGGAGCAUUUCGCCACCAACUCGGCGGAUGAACAAGACGACUUCGUCGUUUGGCUGACCGACUUCCGAGGCUGGUCGAUAUCGAGCUCGCCGCUGUCGAUAACCCGCGAAUCCAUACACAUAAUCCAAAACUAUUAUCCGGGGGUGAUAGGCGUGGCGAUCCCUUUCGACCCUCCAAGGAUUUUUGAGUCUUUCUGGAAGAUAGCCAAGAACUUCGUGCAGCCAGACAUGAAAGAGAAAGUGAAGUUUGUGUAUGCAAACAAGCCGGAGAGCAUCAAGAUAAUGGCUGACAUCUUUGACUUGGAUACGCUGGAAUCUUCAUUUGGAGGAAGAAGCACCGGUACGGCCUUCGACAUCAACAAGUAUGCCGAGAGAAUGAGAAGAGCCGACAAGAUGAGAGGAGCAUCAAAAGAUUCAAAUGGUCACAACCACUGA